rnacentral:lncRNA from 1 species
AUGAUCCUGCAGCCACACUGCCGUCCGUGCUAGACCAGUGAUUUCCCUAGGAGUUUCCUGGAAGGAUAAUACAUGAGUCAGACGGGACUAAAAGCAUUCUAAAGGCCCCUGAGCCCUGCACAGGCGGCUUCAGCAGCAUCCAGGUGGACAGCACAGAGAAGUCAGUCUAGGCCUGCCAUGGUGCCAUCACCCUGGCCCAUGGGCCCUCAGCCACCGGACAGGGAGGGAUUGUCCCUCCCUACUGAAUAAACAACAUCAGGGGCCCAUUAUUCUCCAUAAUUAUUGUCAUAUAACUCAAUAAAACUAAAUGCUUUAUUUGUGCCACCACUCAACAGCAAGUUGCCUUAACACUCCACCAUUGUGCAUCCAUGGAAACGGCUGCGCCAGGCAGCGGAGCGAUGACACUCUUGGAAUUUUCUCCCUCUUGCACCCCUGUUUUCCAAUAACUAUCCUGUGAAAGGAAUAAGAGUGCCCUGCUGUAAGAGGCUGGCAGGCGCUCCCACCUGCUCUCCACACACACCAGCAAACACUGGAACAGCUGGUGUCGUCAACACCGGGAGCAAGCGGCAACCCAGGGCCUUCUAGGUGACUGAUACUUUCCAUCCAGGCCCUAGAGUUAUACUUUCCACCCUGGCACAAUUGGGUCUCCCAGAGCAGGAAUCCACUUUGUGGUGUGAUGUAGCACAAACGACUGGUGAAUUCAUCCGUUCCACUGCUGCUUCAGUGAAAAUGCUUCCAUCGAUUCCCUGUGAUACAUUGGAUUUUUUAGUGAAGAUCAAAUCAAAUGGAAAGUUCUCAACUUACAGAAAAUUGCUUGGAAAAGAUAUGAGUUGCUUCUUGAGGCAGCAGCUCACUGGUUGGCGAAGGCUCUUGUGUGACCCAAAAGGCUGCAGUUUUAAUAGAUCAAAGGUCUUUAGCGCAGAUGAAGUAGUGGGGACGUCGCCCUCUGGAAAGAGUUUGCAUCUGGGAAGAAGCAGCACUAGAAUUUCUGGCACUGAUUACAGGAGCAAAGAGAAGUAUUGUGACACCUCCUGGAUAGAUCCCCAAGAAGGAAGAUUUUAAUCAAUGUUGCACUCUCUGUGGAAGAUUAAAAAAGAGUAGAGAUACAAAAAUUUUUUUCUAUUCUCCCAACUCUCUUUUUUCCCGUUUCUAUGCACGCUCCCUUCUUUAGUAAGGGCAGUAGCAUCUCAAAGUGUGCGUCAAGAAAUCCUAGUCUUGAGUCCACACGGUCUGUUUCAGUGCUAAAACCUUUCUUGUUUUUUCCUGCAAUGUCUAAAUAGAAACCAUUCAUUCAAAUCUUAUUCAACUUCCUAGAAAUAAAAUACGAAAGUGGGUGAGAGCUACA